UCCGUUUUAUUCCAGUUCCCCACCCCUAUUACCUCAAACCAAACGCCCACAAGUUGCUCUCACAGGUAAUCCGUCGCGGUGUUUCUAUCGUAGCAUAGGGUUUGCGGCAGCUACGCAGCCCUCCGACGAUCGCGUAAUGGCGUGGGGGCGACGAAACCGUGGGACUGGAUGUAGCCUCCGCCGGCCUCCAUGUCACCGAGCGCAUCGGCAGGGACGUCACCGGCCGCCUCGACCUCGAGGAGGCUGUCGAAGCCUCGCUCUAUGCUAGCCUCCCCCUACUCCACCCUCCCCAAAGAGAUUAUUCUGUGUGAAGCUCUUUCUAGAGGUGGAGUUGCAGAAGCAUGUUCUGUAGUAAAGAUGGUCGGUUCAAAUAUCUAUACUGGAGUGGAGGGUCGCUUGUCUUUAGAGAUUAUUUAUCUUUAUCUUGAAAUGGUUGCUUCGGUAAAAUUUGUGUUCUCACCCCAAUUGUUCUUUAUUAAAGUUCAACUUUUCUGUUAAUAUUUGUAUAUCUAUUAAUUUUCUGUUUUACUUGUCUAGCAAUGUAUGAAUAUUCUACAAACAGGCCUCAUCAUACGUGCUAGAGCCCUUCUUGCUGCUUGUAAGGUUGAACCAAAGCCUGUAUUAAGCACAUAUGAUCAGCUUUUAUCAUAUGGAGCUAUUUUACCUUCGCCAAACCUGAAACUUCGCUGUCUGAGAUCUGUUCUUGCUGUACUUUGUGAGAGGGUUGGGUCUGUAUUUGCACAUACAUUAGGGACCACGGCUGUUGGCGCUUCUCCAAUCCUUGGCGGAUUACUCUUGUUACAACAGACAAGUACUUCAUCAACCAAGGAGCUCGAGAUAAGAUAACCAGUUUAGCAAAUGGACAUACGGUCUCGUUACGUGAAGGGUUUAGGUCCAUUACCUAAACUAUCUGUAGUGGGUGAUUCUAGAGCCACAAAUAUCAGUUCAAAACAUCAUGAUGAUUAUGAAAAAUUUACAACUAUGCAGAAAACAAUCAAUGAACAUAAUCUGACUAUACGUGAGCAGCAUCAAAAAUUUAAAUCAUUAUUGCACCAACUUCAACAGGUCAUUCCUGGCUUCUCAAUCCAGCCUCCACCAACAUGCUCUUUAAUUCGACCUCCUCCACCACCUCUCUCGCCUCUAACAUCGACUAUGUAGUUUUUUAUUUUGCAACAUUAUGUAAUGCGCAUUUUACUACUCAUGUUCUUUUGGAUAAUAUUUGACUAGUUGUGUUCAUGUUUUAAAAA